rnacentral:misc_RNA from 1 species
GCCUACAUGGCGCCAUUCUAUUGUAAAUUAACACUUCUAAUUCACCUUGAGAAAAGACCCUUUACAAUUAACUAGUGUUACGAGGAUAAACUACUCAAAUACACCCAACUUCAAUACAGCUCAAUUCAACCACGACAAAUGAGAACAAUUUGCUAGAAAUACAAAGCAAUGUGGUUGGUGUCAGCUACCUGAUAGCUUUGCUUGUGCCUGUUGUCAAAUUAUUAUUUUCUCUCUCGGCAAAUAUGAAAAAUUGCGGAUACUUACAGCAUACCUUAAGACUACAUGCCACUUACGUAUUUUCUAUCUACCCAAUUCAAAAUUCUUCUACUUAAUUGUGAUGUAGCGAUUAGUCCCAUGCUUGGCCCAGUGGUCCUUGAGAUCAACUGGAUUUGAGAGGUCGUAGCCUUCAGCAGCAAGCCUACUAAGUAGUUUGCUGAAGGCGCUUCCACUCAUCUUUCUUCCACCUACACGGGCAUGCCGCUUAUUUGGAACAGCAGGUAAUGGAUACACGGAUAGAGUGGUUGUGCAACAUGAAGACUGCCAUCCACCACUUCCCCAUUUAUAGCACUGCCUAAACACUCCAGUACAAGAGCAUACUGGUGCUGGCAUGGUUGACUCAUCAUACGCAAUCUGGUUCAACCCUAAAUCUUGACCUUUCCAAUCAGAUUUAGAGGCAACCAGCUGUUUAUUCAGAUCAUCGCCUUCCGUAGCCAUAUCCUGUCCAUUCUUCCACUCAUGUGAUUUGCCAUACAUGAUUUUGUUCAAGUCCUCAUUCUCCCUCUUAACCUUCCUUGGAGAUUUUGAAGUCUUUUUGUUAGGUGGCAUCACCUUGGCAUCUUUUGAUCGUUUACCCCGCCGUGACUUUGCAGCCUCAGAACCAACAGGUGAUAUUGGGACAGUGUCACUUGCCUGCAUUUCCCUAGUACCAUAUGAAGCUUCACUUGAGUGGGGCACAUGAUGAGGAUGCUGCUGUGGGUGGUGCAUGUGCUUCACCCCACGUGAGAUUUGACAUCCUGGCGGACAAGAGGACAUAUUACCACUUGCCAGGGAGUUCUCUCGAUAUUGAAGAGUGGCAAUAGCAUUAUCUCGUUCCAUCAUUGCAUUAUUUCUCUCAGCAAUAGCUGAAUCUCGCUGAAGGAAUGCCAUAUCACGCUCCGCAAUUGCUGCCUUCUUUUCUGAAAUAGCCAUAUUCCUCUCAUGAAUAGCAGCAUCUCUUUCGGCCAUGAUGGCCAUAAUCUGUUUCAUUGAAGGCUGAGCUUGCAUCAACCACUGCAUUGCAAACAUAAAAUAACAACAAUCAGAAGCAGCAAUUUACAAUGUAUGUAGCUAUGCUGGGUCUCUCUUUGAUAUGCAAAUGAAGUACUAUGGCUCAAAUCCAAACCUCUACUCUGACCUUCACUCCCACUAACCAUUUCAGACCCUAGGUCAAAACAAAUUCAUGUUGCCAGCAGAAGAUUAACUCAAGAUACCUGACCAUGCGCUGUUUUAUGUUGAUCUGCUUUAUGCCUUCCAUUUUCACGAUGCCCACCAUCAUCCAUUGCAGCCCACAGGUGGCAAUAAAUGCAGAUGAAAGUUUAGAACCUCUUGUUCAAGUGCAGUGAUCGGUCAAUUGAACAUAGGAAAGUUACUUGGGCUAUAAAUCCUGCAUCUUAUUAAAGGAUGGAGAAAAAAUUAUUCAUAUAUUCUUCUAUGGAAUAUCACAGGAAAAAAAGGAUCAAGUAAUUCCUCUAUUAUGCCAAUACAUUACCAUGGACAUUCAGAAUGAAGUAAAAACCCUUCCCUUGUAAACUUCCCUGCAUAAGAAACACAUUCUUCAUCCCACAUCAAGAAAAGGCAUUUCCAACACUUUGUAAGAGUAAAAAAUCUUAAAUAGCACACUUUUAUAAAAAAAAUUCCGUAUCCAAAAGAUUUAAAAAUAGGGGAGAAAAGGCAUGACCAGAAUUUGUUUUUAGAAAUGCAUAAGCAUGUGUUGUGCAUAAGCCGGUGUCUAAAUGAUCCAAAAUCUAGGACUAGAAAGUCAUCUAUGUAUAUUACACUUGGCACAGAACAACGUCUAUAAUUAAAUUUGAUGUGUCAAAUGAACAUACUAGAGGAAAAAAUGAAAGAGAAAAACAAAGAAUCUCAGGAUUUUACAGAUCAAAAUCAGCGUUGUGUUGAAAUAGCAUUCCAAUUAUGAUUGGCAUUCUUAUCCCCACCUGACUUGGUUGCAAAUACUAUCAUUUCAAAACAUAAGAAAGAAAAAGUUGACAAUAGACCAUGAACAAUCUAAAAAUUGGCAUAGUUGUACUAAGCACAUUACGAUAGAGUCAUCCCAUUUAACUAAUCUAUGACCCGAAUUGACAACAAGCACCACCACCUCCUUACUAAGCAAAAACACCAAAUCACUGGGGCCUUGACAGAUCAAAGACAAACAAAACCAAUAUGACACCAAAUAUAGAUGGAAUGAAUAAAAAUCCUAGUAUUUAUCAAAUGAAUUCAUGCAUAUAACGUUCAGUUAUUAGCAAGACUCGUAACCCUAGCAAAAAUAAAUAUCAUCCUGGGAUAGUGCAUCAAUUGAACUAAAGACCAAGUUGCCAGGCACAAGUCUGCAUUAGGAGCCUCAGUUAACUCCAAAAACUAAUUAGAGAUCCAAUUUUCCCUCUAGUCAAACAAUGGAAAAGAUUCUGUAAACCUGAUAUGAAGCCAAAGAAUCAAACAUCAAAUCCUCCUCCCACAGACAAAAUCAAGCAUUCAAAAUCCAUCUCUCAACCAAUCUAUAGAGAAUCACUAAAACGUAAACCACUAAAAACCCUAGAAAUCCAAACCCACGAAGCAAGGCUUCACUCGCACACAUUGAAAAAACAGAAAUCAAGACCAAGAUUAAACAAAGCGAAGACAAAAGCAACUUUCAAUCGCUAUAAAAAUGCACUAACAACCAACUUAAAGUAACAAAAAAUGGAAAUGUUACUCGCGAUUAUGGUGUGAACAAAGAGAAGGAUUAGCAGAGAGCACAGA